KCGCNGCUUACCAUGCAAGUUCGAGCGGAGAUGAGGUGCUUGCACCUUAUCUUAGCGGCGGACGGGUGAGUAAUGCUUAGGAAUCUGCCUAUUAGUGGGGGACAACAUUCCGAAAGGAAUGCUAAUACCGCAUACGUCCUACGGGAGAAAGCAGGGGAUCUUCGGACCUUGCGCUAAUAGAUGAGCCUAAGUCGGAUUAGCUAGUUGGUGGGGUAAAGGCCUACCAAGGCGACGAUCUGUAGCGGGUCUGAGAGGAUGAUCCGCCACACUGGGACUGAGACACGGCCCAGACUCAUACGGGAGGCAGCAGUGGGGAAUAUUGGACAAUGGGGGGAACCCUGAUCCAGCCAUGCCGCGUGUGUGAAGAAGGCCUUAUGGUUGUAAAGCACUUUAAGCGAGGAGGAGGCUACUGAGACUAAUACUCUUGGAUAGUGGACGUUACUCGCAGAAUAAGCACCGGCUAACUCUGUGCCAGCAGCCGCGGUAAUACAGAGGGUGCGAGCGUUAAUA
rnacentral:rRNA from 1 species